rnacentral:rRNA from 1 species
AGUGAACGCUGGCGGUAGGCCUAACGCAUGCAAGUCGAACGGCAGCACAGUAAUAGCUUGCUCUUACGGGUGGCGAGUGGCGGACGGGGGAGGAAUACAUCGGAAUCUACUUUUUCGUGGGGGAUAACGUAGGGAAACUUACGCUAAUACCGCAUACGACCUACGGGUGAAAGCAGGGGAUCUUCGGACCUUGCGCGAUUGAAUGAGCCGAUGUCGGAUUAGCUAGUUGGCGGGGUAAAGGCCCACCAAGGCGACGAUCCGUUGCUGGUCUGAGAGGAUGAUCAGCCACACUGGAACUGAGACACGGUCCAGACUCCUACGGGAGGCAGCAGUGGGGAAUAUUGGACAAUGGGCGAAAGCCUGAUCCAGCCAUACCGCGUGGGUGAAGAAGGCCUUCGGGUUGUAAAGCCCUUUUGUUGGGAAAGAAAAGCAGCAGGUUAAUACCCCGCUGUUCUGACGGUACCCAAAGAAUAAGCACCGGCUAACUUCGUG